rnacentral:rRNA from 1 species
AUUGAACGCCGGCGGCAUGCUUUACACAUGCAAGUCGAACGGUAACAGGUUAAGCUGACGAGUGGCGAACGGGUGAGUAAUGCAUCGGAACGUGCCCGGUCGUGGGGGAUGACGCAGCGAAAGCUGCGCUAAUACCGCAUACGAUCUGAGGAUGAAAGCGGGGGACCGUAAGGCCUCGCGCGAUCGGAGCGGCCGAUGUCAGAUUAGGUAGUUGGUGGGGUAAAGGCUCACCAAGCCGACGAUCUGUAGCUGGUCUGAGAGGACGACCAGCCACACUGGGACUGAGACACGGCCCAGACUCCUACGGGAGGCAGCAGUGGGGAAUUUUGGACAAUGGGCGCAAGCCUGAUCCAGCAAUGCCGCGUGCAGGAAGAAGGCCUUCGGGUUGUAAACUGCUUUUGUACGGAGCGAAAAGGCUCUCUCUAAUACAGGGGGCUCAUGACGGUACCGUAAGAAUAAGCACCGGCUAACUACGUGCCAGCCGCCGCGGUAA